GUUUCCUCGGACUGCGCCGACGCGGGUCCGGAUCAUUCUCUUGUUUCCUAUAGGUGAGCUUCUGCCUGGUGACAGCAUGGUGCGACUAGUGACAGAGCUACCGGUUUCCUCGGACUGCGCCGACGCGGGUCCGGAUCAUUCUCUUGUUUCCUAUAGGUCAGUUAGAACAAAUAAGGAUAGACCUAAAUGGAUAUAGCUAAGAGUCUGUGUUAGCAUAUAGGCCAGAUCACACGUUGCAAUGAAUCAUCGUUGCAUUUUGCUAAUAACAUCAAAGACACUAGGCACCUGUAUGGGUUUGUAGCAGACAGAUCAUGGCACAGGUCUGCUACAAGAACACAUCCAGAGGUUUUUAGCUGAGGUUCAGAUCACCUCCAUUCCUCAGCACCAUGUACAUACCACGCCAGGUCAGAAAGAAAGCCCCAUCAAUGAACAAGUCUAACCUACUGGAAGAAGCAACCAGAUCAGAUUUGGGCCUAAGCACCUUGAUACCUCACAGAAGAUGAAAUGACUGAGUCACCACAACAAUCUAUGAUCAACGACCACGUCUGUCAUCCUGAAAGCACUUUGACCUUCUCUGUGAUGGUGUAUGAGACAAGAGAGGAAACAAAACCAAUAAAAUAUUGAAUAAAA